UGGCUCAGAACGAACGCUGGCGGCAGGCUUAACACAUGCAAGUCGAGCGAGCGUAGCAAUACGUCAGCGGCAGACGGGUGAGUAACGCGUGGGAACGUACCUUUUGGUUCGGAACAACACAGGGAAACUUGUGCUAAUACCGGAUAAGCCCUUACGGGGAAAGAUUUAUCGCCGAAGGAUCGGCCCGCGUCUGAUUAGCUAGUUGGUGGGGUAACGGCCCACCAAGGCGAGGAACAGUAGCUGGUCUGAGAGGAUGAUCAGCCUCACUGGGAUUGUUUUCUCGGCCCANAGACCUACGGGAG
rnacentral:rRNA from 2 species